GAUGAACGCUGGCGGCGUGCCUAAUACAUGCAAGUCGAGCGAACAGACGAGGAGCUUGCUCCUCUGACGUUAGCGGCUGACGGGUGAGUAACACGUGGAUAACCUACCUAUAUUACUGGGAUAACUUCGGGAAACCGUAUCUAAUACCGGAUAAUAUAUUGAACCGCAUGGUUCAAUAGUGAAUGACGGUUUUUCUGUCUCUUAUAGCUGGAUCCGCGCCGCAUUAUCUAGUUGGUAAGGUAACGGCUUACCAAGGCGACGAUGCGUAGCCGACCUGAGAGGGUGAUCGGCCACACUGGAACUGAGACACGGUCCAGACUCCUACGGGAGGCAGCAGUAGGGAAUCUUCCGCAAUGGGCGAAAGCCUGACGGAGCAACGCCGCGUGAGUGAUGAAGGUCUUCGGAUCGUAAAACUCUGUUAUUAGGGAAGAAAAAAUGUGUAAGUAAAUAUGCACGUAUUGACGGUACCUAAUCAGAAAGCAACGGCUAACUACGUG
rnacentral:rRNA from 1 species